rnacentral:rRNA from 1 species
AGCGCAACCCUUGUCCUUAGUUACCAGCACGUUAUGGUGGGCACUCUAAGGAGACUGCCGGUGACAAACCGGAGGAAGGUGGGGAUGACGUCAAGUCAUCAUGGCCCUUACGGCCUGGGCUCACACGUGCUACAAUGGUCGGUACAAAGGGUUGCCAAGCCGCGAGGUGGAGCUAAUCCCAUAAAACCGAUCGUAGUCCGGAUCGCAGUCUGCAACUCGACUGCGUGAAGUCGGAAUCGCUAGUAAUCGUGAAUCAGAAUGUCACGGUGAAUACGUUCCCGGGCCUU